rnacentral:lncRNA from 1 species
UGUCUGCGCGCAUGCGAAGUAGAGGGUCUACAUAUCCUGACCUCCGUGAAGGUUUACCUUAGAUAAUUUUGGAUUUGAUCUCUGGUUUUACUGUGAUUCAGGUAAGAAUUUGAUCCUUAAAUAAGUAGAAUAUUAGAAAAAAUUUUUAGAUGCAACCUGGGCAUUCUGGAGGGAAACUGUUUCCUUCCCUUCAACUGGUGUUAGAGCCAGGUUAGAAAUAUAUGCAUAUAAAAU